rnacentral:rRNA from 1 species
AGUGAACGCUGGCGGUAGGCCUAACACAUGCAAGUCGAACGGCAGCACAGUAAGAGCUUGCUCUUACGGGUGGCGAGUGGCGGAUGGGUGAGGAAUACAUCGGAAUCUACUUUUUCGUGGGGGAUAACGUAGGGAAACUUACGCUAAUACCGCAUACGACCUACGGGUGAAAGCAGGGGAUCUUCGGACCUUGCGCGAUUGAAUGAGCCGAUGUCGGAUUAGCUAGUUGGCGGGGUAAAGGCCCACCAAGGCGACGAUCCGUAGCUGGUCUGAGAGGAUGAUCAGCCACACUGGAACUGAGACACGGUCCAGACUCCUACGGGAGGCAGCAGUGGGGAAUAUUGGACAAUGGGCGCAAGCCUGAUCCAGCCAUACCGCGUGGGUGAAGAAGGCCUUCGGGUUGUAAAGCCCUUUUGUUGGGAAAGAAAAGCGGCAGGUUAAUACCCCGCUGUUCUGACGGUACCCAAAGAAUAAGCACCGGCUAACUUCGUG